GAUGAACGCUAGCUACAGGCUUAACACAUGCAAGUCGAGGGGAAACGACAUCGAAAGCUUGCUUUUGAUGGGCGUCGACCGGCGCACGGGUGAGUAACGCGUAUCCAACCUGCCCAUCACUUGGGAAUAACCUUGCGAAAGUAAGACUAAUACCCAAUGACAUCCCACGAAGACAUCUGAAUGGGAUUAAAGAUUUAUCGGUGAUGGAUGGGGAUGCGUCUGAUUAGCUUGUUGGCGGGGUAACGGCCCACCAAGGCAACGAUCAGUAGGGGUUCUGAGAGGAAGGUCCCCCACAUUGGAACUGAGACACGGUCCAAACUCCUACGGGAGGCAGCAGUGAGGAAUAGUGGGCAAUGGGCGAGAGCCUGAACCAGCCAAGUAGCGUGCAGGAUGACGGCCCUAUGGGUUGUAAACUGCUUUUAGAAGGGAAUAAAGUGGGUCUCGUGAGACUUUUUGCAUGUACCUGAUGAAUAAGGACCGGCUAAUUCCGUG
rnacentral:rRNA from 1 species